GAGAGUUUGAUCCUGGCUCAGGAUGAACGCUAGCUACAGGCUUAACACAUGCAAGUCGAGGGGCAGCAUGGUCUUAGCUUGCUAAGGCCGAUGGCGACCGGCGCACGGGUGAGUAACACGUAUCCAACCUGCCGUCUACUCUUGGACAGCCUUCUGAAAGGAAGAUUAAUACAAGAUGGCAUCAUGAGUCCGCAUGUUCACAUGAUUAAAGGUAUUCCGGUAGACGAUGGGGAUGCGUUCCAUUAGAUAGUAGGCGGGGUAGCGGCCCACCUAGUCUUCGAUGGAUAGGGGUUCUGAGAGGAAGGUCCCCCACAUUGGAACUGAGACACGGUCCAAACUCCUACGGGAGGCAGCAGUGAGGAAUAUUGGUCAAUGGGCGAGAGCCUGAACCAGCCAAGUAGCGUGAAGGAUGACUGCCCUAUGGGUUGUAAACUUCUUUUAUAAAGGAAUAAAGUCGGGUAUGGAUACCCGUUUGCAUGUACUUUAUGAAUAAGGAUCGGCUAACUCCGUGCCAGCAGCCGCGGUAAUACGGAGGAUCCGAGCGUUAUCCGGAUUUAUUGGGUUUAAAGGGAGCGUAGAUGGAUGUUUAAGUCAGUUGUGAAAGUUUGCGGCUCAACCGUAAAAUUGCAGUUGAUACUGGAUAUCUUGAGUGCAGUUGAGGCAGGCGGAAUUCGUGGUGUAGCGGUGAAAUGCUUAGAUAUCACGAAGAACUCCAAUUGCGAAGGCAGCCUGCUAAGCUGCAACUGACAUUGAGGCUCGAAAGUGUGGGUAUCAAACAGGAUUAGAUACCCUGGUAGUCCACACGGUAAACGAUGAAUACUCGCUGUUUGCGAUAUACUGCAAGCGGCCAAGCGAAAGCGUUAAGUAUUCCACCUGGGGAGUACGCCGGCAACGGUGAAACUCAAAGGAAUUGACGGGGGCCCGCACAAGCGGAGGAACAUGUGGUUUAAUUCGAUGAUACGCGAGGAACCUUACCCGGGCUUAAAUUGCAGAUGAAUUACGGUGAAAGCCGUAAGCCGCAAGGCAUCUGUGAAGGUGCUGCAUGGUUGUCGUCAGCUCGUGCCGUGAGGUGUCGGCUUAAGUGCCAUAACGAGCGCAACCCUUGUUGUCAGUUACUAACAGGUUCUGCUGAGGACUCUGACAAGACUGCCAUCGUAAGAUGUGAGGAAGGUGGGGAUGACGUCAAAUCAGCACGGCCCUUACGUCCGGGGCUACACACGUGUUACAAUGGGGGGUACAGAGGGCCGCUACCACGCGAGUGGAUGCCAAUCCCAAAAACCUCUCUCAGUUCGGACUGGAGUCUGCAACCCGACUCCACGAAGCUGGAUUCGCUAGUAAUCGCGCAUCAGCCACGGCGCGGUGAAUACGUUCCCGGGCCUUGUACACACCGCCCGUCAAGCCAUGGGAGCCGGGGGUACCUGAAGUGCGUAACCGCGAGGAGCGCCCUAGGGUAAAACUGGUGACUGGGGCUAAGUCGUAACAAGGUAGCCG
rnacentral:rRNA from 1 species